UACGUAGGGUGCAAGCGUUACUCGGAAUUACUGGGCGUAAAGCGUGCGCAGGCGGCUUUGCAAGACAGAUGUGAAAUCCCCGGGCUUAACCUGGGAACUGCAUUUGUGACUGCAUGGCUGGAGUGCGGCAGAGGGGGAUGGAAUUCCGCGUGUAGCAGUGAAAUGCGUAGAUAUGCGGAGGAAUACCAGUGGCGAAGGCGGCACGCUGGGCCAUAACUGACGCUAAGACUCGAAAGCAUGGGUAGCGAACGGG
rnacentral:rRNA from 1 species